CCUUCCCUUCCUCCCUCCUCAGGUUAGCCCCUCCCUCCUCCAGAAACCAUAGUUGGCCCUGCCCGAGGAACCCGAGAGGUAGGAGCGAAGCUUCCCGAGCCCUCGGCCAGCCGAGGGCCGUUUGCCCUGGGCCACAGGUGCCCUGGCAACGGCCGCCGCUACCACGGGGCGGGGCUGUGACGUCAGAGGAUGGCUCGCGGACUUGGAAGGGGUUGGGGAGGAGUGAGGCACGAGCAAAGGCUUCUUGGUUGACGUUAGUUCUUUUUUGAUUGAUCUUCAAUUAAAUCCUUCCACGUCUUUGCAACCUUUCUUGACGCCUCUGGCAUAGAGUAACAGAUUAACAAGAAGCAAAAAUCCCAUCUGUGCCAUUUAAUUGCCAUGAGACCAUGUUCUUUUCCCCUGUGCAGGGCCUCAGUUUCCUAACCUGCAUUGUAGGGGAGAGUUAGACUAGAAAGACCAUUCCAACUCAAAAUUCCAUUAGCCAACUGUUUGCCAUCCAUCCACACAUAUCGUCAGCCCAUGAAGGGGGAGAACCGGGCCAGUGGUAACCAUCCCCCCCAAAUUACCAGCUCAUUUUCAUUAUGUUGCCACACAAAGCCUGUUUCACUUUUGUCUUUCUAUUUCCUGGGCCCAGCAUAAGGACUGGCAUUUUAAGGACUCUCCAUGUCUUCAGCUCUCAUUAUCACUACCAUGCCAACAGGAUCCUGGGAGUCCAGGUUCAAAGAACCCAGAAAAGGAGGAAGCAUCAGUAA
rnacentral:lncRNA from 1 species